rnacentral:SRP_RNA from 1 species
GCCAGGCACUGUAGCGCGUGCUUGUAGUCCCAGCUACUCAGGAGGCUGAGGUGGGAGGAUCUCUUGAGUCCAGGAGUUCUGGGCUGUAGUGCACUAUGCCAAUCGGGUGUCUGCACUAAGUUCGGCAUCAAUAUGGUGACCUCCCGGGAGCGGUGACCACCAGGUUGCCUAAGGAGGAGUGAACCAGCCCAGGUCGGAAAUGGAGCAGGUCAAAACUCCCGUGCUGAUCAGUAGUGGGAUCACGCCUGUGACAAGCCACUGCACUCCAGCCUGGGCAACAUAGCGAGACCCCGUCUCU